rnacentral:rRNA from 1 species
AUUGAACGCUGGCGGCAUGAUUUACACAUGCAAGUCGAACGGUAACAGGCCGCAAGGUGCUGACGAGUGGCGAACGGGUGAGUAAUGCAUCGGAACGUGCCCAGUCGUGGGGGAUAACUACUCGAAAGAGUAGCUAAUACCGCAUACGAUCUAUGGAUGAAAGCGGGGGACCGUAAGGCCUCGCGCGAUUGGAGCGGCCGAUGUCAGAUUAGGUAGUUGGUGGGGUAAAGGCUCACCAAGCCAACGAUCUGUAGCUGGUCUGAGAGGACGACCAGCCACACUGGGACUGAGACACGGCCCAGACUCCUACGGGAGGCAGCAGUGGGGAAUUUUGGACAAUGGGCGCAAGCCUGAUCCAGCAAUGCCGCGUGCAGGAAGAAGGCCUUCGGGUUGUAAACUGCUUUUGUACGGAACGAAACGGCUCUGGUUAAUACCCGGGGCUAAUGACGGUACCGUAAGAAUAGGCACCGGCUAACUACGUG